GACGAACCGAGCGAACGUUGUUCGGAAUUACUGGGCGUAAAGGGCGCGUAGGCGGUGUGUCAAGUCAGGCGUGAAAGCCCCGGGCUCAACCUGGGAACAGCGCUUGAGACUGGCACGCUCGAGUUCGGGAGAGGAUGGUGGAAUUCCCAGUGUAGAGGUGAAAUCGUAGAUAUUGGGAAGAACACCGAUGGCGAAGGCAGCCAUCUGGACCGACACUGACGCUGAGGCGCGAAAGCGUGGGGAGCAAACAGG
rnacentral:rRNA from 1 species